CACACCGGUUAUUCUGGAAGCAUUUUGUCAAACAACGACUUUAAAUCAGGGCGCUCCCAAAGAGGCCUUCACCGACUCCACCUUCAAACGCCGUCGUUGCACUUGUACUGACUUCCGUGAAGCAACCCAAGAUCUUGCAAAUAAAGAACCAACUAUUACUCCACAUCUUUGUUUUCUUGGCUCAACGACGGACAUCUUGAAGAAAACGCAACAGGUUUCAAACUAAGCACAUCAUUCAAGCAGCAAGUGAGAGGUGUACUUCACCUGCUGACACCUUCUCUUUCAACGAGCCAAUGAAUAAAGCCUGACUCCCAGCAGCAGCUUGCUGACACCUCAGAACUUUGUAAUUGUGCUCUAAAAAGCUCGCUCAGAUUUAUCGGCUAGUCUCGGUGGAGUUGAAACUUCGGCAAAAAGUGCACGAUACUUUGUCAAGGCUCAGAGAUCCUGAUCGACGUGGACUUUUGCUGCAUUUUAACCUUUCACCAAGGCCUGUUUUCAUUUUUUUUAUAUUGUGGCCUUAAGACUCAAUUGUGUUUUAAGUUACCGAAUAUGUAACUAUUUAUCUCCGUGCCAGGAUGUGUCAGGCCAAAGGAAUCAAUAAGAGGAGGUGAAAUGCAGAAAUGCAAGCCAUCAAUCAUAAUUACUUUACAAGUCGUAGGCCGGGAGGUGUUCCUGCUCAAUGUAAUCAUCACUUGUUUGAUGGUUGGCCCCCGAGCUUUGAACAUAAAAAAA